AAUCCUGGUGGCGAGUGGCGAACGGGUGAGUAAUAUAUCGGAACGUGCCGUCGUGGGGGAUAACGUAGCGAAAGCUACGCUAAUACCGCAUACGAUCUACGGAUGAAANCGGGGGAUCGCAAGACCUCGCGCGAUUGGAGCGGCCGAUAUCAGAUUAGGUAGUUGGUGAGGUAAAGGCUCACCAAGCCGACGAUCUGUAGCUGGUCUGAGAGGACGACCAGCCACACUGGGACUGAGACACGGCCCAGACUCCUACGGGAGGCAGCAGUGGGGAAUUUUGGACAAUGGGCGCAAGCCUGAUCCAGCAAUGCCGCGUGCAGGAUGAAGGCCUUCGGGUUGUAAACUGCUUUUGUACGGAACGAAACGGUGAGCUCUAAUACAGUUUGCUAAUGACGGUACCGUAAGAAUAAGCACCGGCUAACUACGUG
rnacentral:rRNA from 1 species